GAUGAACGCUGGCGGCGUGCCUAAUACAUGCAAGUCGAGCGAACGGACGAGAAGCUUGCUUCUCUGAUGUUAGCGGCGGACGGGUGAGUAACACGUGGAUAACCUACCUAUAAGACUGGGAUAACUUCGGGAAACCGGAGCUAAUACCGGAUGAUAUUUUGAGCCGCAUGGUUCAAAAGUGAAAGACGGUCUUGCUGUCACUUAUAGAUGGAUCCGCGCUGCAUUAGCUAGUUGGUAAGGUAACGGCUUACCAAGGCAACGAUGCAUAGCCGACCUGAGAGGGUGAUCGGCCACACUGGAACUGAGACACGGUCCAGGCUCCUACGGGAGGCAGCAGUAGGGAAUCUUCCGCAGUGGGCGAAAGCCUGACGGAGCAACGCCGCGUGAGUGAUGACGGUCUUCGGAUCGUAAAACUCUGUUAUUAGGGAAGAACAUAUGUGUAAGUAACUGUGCACAUCUUGACGGUACCUAAUCAGAAAGCCACGGCUAACUACGUG
rnacentral:rRNA from 1 species